rnacentral:sRNA from 1 species
AGCCAGCGGCCGCCCACGAAGCUGUCGGUGCGCAGCAGCGCCGCAGAGAGGCCCGCCAGGCCCCCAGCGUAGCCGCGGAGCUGGGCCGGGCCGGGCGCAGGCCGGGAGGCAGGGACCAGGCCCCCGGCGCGGGGGCGGAGGCGGCAGCCUGGAAACGUCGACCCGAGGCGCUGGGCCCCACAGCUCCGCAGCCAAAAGCAGGUCGCCAUGGCCCGGGCAGCGACGGCGAUAGUAAACAGGUUGUGGCCUGGCCUGCUGAUCGUGUUGGGUUCUGUCUGCCAUAGAGGUUCAUCGUGUGGCCUUUCAACACAUGUAGAAAUAGGACACAGAGCUCUGGAGUUUCUUCAGCUUCACAAUGGGCAUGUUAACUACAGAGAGCUGUUACUAGAACACCAGGAUGCAUAUCAGGCUGGAACCGUGUUUCCUGAUUGUUUUUACCCUAGCAUCUGCAAAGGAGGAAAAUACCAUGAUGUGUCUGAGAGCACUCACUGGACUCCGUUUCUUAACGCAAGCGUUCAUUAUAUCCGAGAGAACUAUCCCCUUCCCUGGGAGAAGGACACAGAGAAACUGGUAGCUUUCUUGUUUGGAAUUACUUCUCACAUGGCGGCAGAUGUCAGCUGGCAUAGUCUGGGCAUUGAACAAGGAUUCCUUAGGACCAUGGGAGCUAUUGAUUUUCACGGCUCCUAUUCAGAGGCUCAUUCGGCUGGUGAUUUUGGAGGAGAUGUGUUGAGCCAGUUUGAAUUUAAUUUUAAUUACCUUGCACGACGCUGGUAUGUGCCAGUCAAAGAUCUACUGGGAAUUUAUGAGAAACUGUAUGGUCAAAAAGUCAUCACCGAAAAUGUAAUCGUUGAUUGUUCACAUAUCCAGUUCUUAGAAAUGUAUGGUGAGAUGCUAGCUGUUUCCAAGUUAUAUCCCACUUACUCUACAAAGUCCCCGUUUUUGGUGGAACAAUUCCAAGAGUAUUUUCUUGGAGGACUGGAUGAUAUGGCGUUUUGGUCCACUAAUAUUUAUCAUCUAACAAGCUUCAUGU